GCGCGCCGCGUCCUAGACCCCCUCCCUCCCGGGCCGCCCGCUGGAAGUCUGCCUGGGCGACCCCGACCGGAGCUGGGGGCAGGGGUGCCGGCUCCCUAGGACUGCUCUUCAGCGGGGUCCAGCCUCCGGGUUCGCUGUUAGACCUUGGGAAGAUGGUUGACCUUUUUAAAGACCACACUUUCCUCCACGUUAACACGGCUGAACUUGGGAAAACCAGUAAAGAAUGUGUUCACCUCCUAGCAAAUUACUGGAAGGAACAUGAGAAAUGAUCAAAGACCUGGAAGACCUCAGAGAUCUAAGUAUAAAUACCUAAGUGAUCUAAUUAUAAAGGCCUAACAACUAAAACUAUAAACCUCUUAGAAGGAAACAUAGGAGAAACCCUUCAUGCUGCUGGAUUUGGGAAUGAUUUCUUGGAUAUGACAGCAGAAGGACAGGCAACAAAAGUAAAAAU